rnacentral:rRNA from 1 species
AGAGUUUGAUCCUGGCUCAGAACGAACGCUGGCGGCGCGCCUAACACAUGCAAGCCGGACGCACUCGCAAGAGUGAGUGGCGGACGGGUGAGUAACACGUGGGAACCUGCCCUGGGGUCUGGGAUAGCUGCGGGAAACUGCAGGUAACACCGGAUGCGCCCUAUGGGGGAAAGUUUACGCCCUGGGAUGGGCCCGCGUCGGAUUAGGUAGUUGGUGGGGUAAUGGCCUACCAAGCCUUCGAUCCGUAACCGGUCUGAGAGGAUGAUCGGUCACACUGGGACUGAGACACGGCCCAGACUCCUACGGGAGGCAGCAGUGGGGAAUCUUGGACAAUGGGGGCAACCCUGAUCCAGCGACGCCGCGUGGGUGAUGAAGGCCUUCGGGUCGUAAAGCCCUUUUGCCGGGGAAGAUGAUGACGGUACCCGGAGAAGAAGCACCGGCUAACUCUGUGCCAGCAGCCGCGGUAAGACAGAGGGUGCUAGCGUUGUUCGGAAUUACUGGGCGUAAAGGGCGCGUAGGCGGCCCGUUUAGUCGGGUGUGAAAUCCCAAGGCUCAACCUUGGAACUGCAUUCGAUACUGGCGGGCUAGAGACCGGAAGAGGUGGGUGGAAUACCCAGUGUAGAGGUGAAAUUCGUAGAUAUUGGGUGGAACACCGGUGGCGAAGGCGGCUCACUGGUCCGGUUCUGACGCUGAGGCGCGAAAGCGUGGGGAGCAAACAGGAUUAGAUACCCUAGUAGUCC